rnacentral:rRNA from 1 species
ACGCACGCUGGCGGCGUGCUUAACACAUGCCAGUCGAACGAUGAUGCCAGCUUGCUGGUGGAUUAGUGGCGAACGGGUGAGUAACACGUGAGCAACCUGCCCCUGACUUCGGGAUAACCGCGGGAAACCGUGGCUAAUACCGGAUAUGACGCGCUAUCGCAUGGUGGUGUGUGGAAAGAUUUAUCGGUUGGGGAUGGGCUCGCGGCCUAUCAGCUUGUUGGUGGGGUGAUGGCCUACCAAGGCGACGACGGGUAGCCGGCCUGAGAGGGUGACCGGCCACACUGGGACUGAGACACGGCCCAGACUCCUACGGGAGGCAGCAGUGGGGAAUAUUGCACAAUGGGCGCAAGCCUGAUGCAGCGACGCCGCGUGAGGGAUGACGGCCUUCGGGUUGUAAACCUCUUUCAGUAGGGAAGAAGGCCUUCGGGUUGACGGUACCUGCAGAAGAAGCGCCGGCUAACUACGUG